rnacentral:rRNA from 1 species
CACGUAGGGUGCGAGCGUUGUCCGGAAUUAUUGGGCGUAAAGAGCUUGUAGGCGGUCUGUCGCGUCUCUGUGAAAAUCCGGGCUCACCCGGACUUGCAGUGGGUACGGGCAGACUAGAGUGUGGUAGGGGAGACUGAAUUCUGGUGUAGCGGUGAAAUGCGCAGAUAUCAGGAGGAACACCGAUGGCGAAGGCAGGUCUCCUGGGCACUACUGACGUGGAGAAGCGAAAGCAUGGGGAGCGAACAG